UCCGUUUUUAUCUUGCAUAGACCAUCUAAAGGGUGUUGUCCCCUCACCCAGCCCCCAUUUUUUGAAACCUAUUUUCAGUGCUUUUAAUGUUACCUGAGAUAAGAGGAUGCACCUCUUCAGGUCUGAUUUCAUAUUAUUUCUCAGAUACUGAUAGGGCAUCAUUCUCAUAAAUGACAAAUAGGAGUUAUAAACUGUUUGCAAUUUGGGAAGGGUCGGCUUAGGGAUUGUUCUGAUGGCGAAAUGAUUUGUCAACAGUCCUAAAUUAUGCGAAGUUCUUCGCCUUCCACUUUCCCUUAGCGCUUUUUUCCUUUCUCCCACCGAGAUGUAAUAGAAACUAAUCUUCAACAUCGAAACAUUCCAAGCCGGUCCUUUUGUGCAGGCAUCUCGCUCUCCCGGGGGCUCGGUGCAGAGCGGCGGGGAGGACGCUUCUCUUUACGCUCACGGGCCCCCGCUGCUCGGACCCCGGCCCGCAGACAGGCCAUCCAUCACCCGCCUCCUCCCGCCGCGCGCGGCCGCCGCGGCCAAUCGGGCGGCAGGUGGGGUCGCACCUGCCGGACAGCCCGCCGCUGCCCUCCUGCUCUCCGCGCCGCGCCUCCCAGGCUGGAGGCGCCCUCGUGAGCCCCCGCGUUCUCCAAGGCCAGAACAGACAGUCCACACACCUUUACCAACCAGGUACUAAACCUGCAGAACCAGUCUGAAAAAGGAACGGUAUCCAAAGGCUACCCAGAUACAGGCUGGUGGCAAGAAAGGCUCAGGAAAAUGUGGAGCUGUGACCAGAAAUCAAAUACGGGUAAGGAGCAAACCUCUCUCUUUGUCCGAAGGAGUGAUCACAUGUUGACAGCUGGAAUUUACAUGGCUCCUUAUUCAAUAUACUAGCGCCUUUCCUGCAUUCCAACAUCAGCAGCACAAUAGUGGCACAGAAGCAAACUGACACAUUACACACGGUCCAGCUGUCCCGUCGUCCCCUCUCCACAGACCCCUCCUCCUCCUCCUCGGUCUUCUUCAUAUUCCUCCAACGUGAGCUUUCACUUGCACGAGACCAAAACACAUACUUUUUGGAUGGCACCUAGAUUAUGGGGUAUGAUUUCACGUGCCUUAUUUGCUUGUCUGCCUGCAGGAUAUGAACUCUGCCUUAAAGAAGAAAAACAAAUAAGCAAAAUCACACCAAGGCGGGAUAAAAACCCAAACAAAUCCCUUCUACUUUGUUGUCAGCUCAAAAAGACCUGUACGUGAUCAACAUUUCCCAUAUCAAAAAUCUUGUCGACAUCACAAACCCUUUCUUUACCUUGGGCGUACGUGGCUUUCUUUAUGAACUUGAACGCAAAGGAAACGUGACCUGUGGAGUAACUGGUGCUAUAAUUAGUGAG
rnacentral:lncRNA from 1 species